AGUUCACAAGGCCUGAACCCCGAGCAGGUUGUGUGUGUGUGCAAGUGAAGUAGGGAGGCCAUGAAUUUGAGGAAGGGUAUACAUGGGAAGAACCAGAGAGAAAAGUUUAUGUUUCAGAAGUUCGUACUCAGAAUCAAGUUCCUCUGCCCUCAUAUCCUGUCUUAAAUCACUGAACGGGUUUCUGUGGUUCUACAAUGCCGGAUUUAGUUAAAAACGAAACUCAAAAAUGUAGAUCCCAGCUUGUGCAACCCAAAUCAGAUGUUCUUCCUGCUUUGCCAUUUCAUCUGGGUCUUACUAUGGAAUGUUGGCUGGUCUGAAACUUGUAGAAAUCCACUUGCCUCUGCCUCCAUAGAGCUCGGAUUUAAAGGCCUGUGGCUUCACUCCCAGUACAACAGUCUUAUUUUCAAAAUGAAGUUUCUGUCAGAGGAUCAACAAUCAAACAAAACCUUCUGUGAGAACAUUUCACAGGUUACUUGAAAAUAAAACCCGUCCUGUAUAAC
rnacentral:lncRNA from 1 species